rnacentral:rRNA from 1 species
UACGCAGGGGGCUAGCGUUGCUCGGAAUUACUGGGCGUAAAGGGCGCGUAGGCGGACAGUUUAGUCAGAGGUGAAAGCCCAGGGCUCAACCUUGGAAUUGCCUUUGAUACUGGCUGUCUUGAGUUCGGGAGAGGUGAGUGGAAUGCCGAGUGUAGAGGUGAAAUUCGUAGAUAUUCGGAAGAACACCAGUGGCGAAGGCGGCUCACUGGCCCGUUACCGACGCUCAGGCGCGACAGCGUGGGGAGCAAACAGG